GGCCCCGUGGUGUAAUGGUAGCACGUCGGGCUAGGACUCUUUCCCCUAGCUGGAAGCGUUGGUUCGAUUCCUUCCGGGUCCA
rnacentral:tRNA from 1 species